ACCACAACUUGAAACAGUGUAUUCUUGACAGCACAAUUAAUGUUUUUCACCGGCAUAUUGUACCUCAAAAAGUAGGCAAAAAGUGAGUUUUUUUAAUAAUUUCCAGGAUAUGGCUUUAAUAGAGAGCAAUUUCAUGAAUACUGGGAAGAUGCUUUUUCUGUGACAUAUUCACUUUUUUUUAGAAUAUUCUGUAAGUGCCUGUGAUCUGUGAUUUAGAUUAGUUUGUCUCAUCGCUCUAAGAAAGUUAGUGAUGAUGAAGGCAGAUUUGACCUUGUUUAUUUUUUUACGUAUAAACACGG
rnacentral:lncRNA from 1 species